CAGUCGCCGCGGUAACACGUAGGGUGCAAGCGUUAAUCGGAAUUACUGGGCGUAAAGCGUGCGCAGGCGGUUAUAUAAGACAGAUGUGAAAUCCCCGGGCUCAACCUGGGAACUGCAUUUGUGACUGUAUAGCUAGAGUACGGCAGAGGGGGAUGGAAUUCCGCGUGUAGCAGUGAAAUGCGUAGAUAUGCGGAGGAACACCGAUGGCGAAGGCAAUCCCCUGGGCCUGUACUGACGCUUAUGCACGAAAGCGUGGGGAGCAAACAGGAUUAGAUACCCCCGUAGUCCCUGUCUCUUAUAU
rnacentral:rRNA from 1 species